rnacentral:rRNA from 1 species
UACAGAGGUCUCAACCGUUGUUCGGAUUCAUUGGGCGUAAAGGGUGCGUAGGCGGUCGGGUAAGUCGGAUGUGAAAUCUCAGGGCUCAACCCUGAAACUGCAUUCGAUACUGCCUGGCUAGGGUACUGGAGAGGAGACUGGAAUUUACGGUGUAGCAGUGAAAUGCGUAGAUAUUCGGAAGAACACCAGCGGCGAAGGCAGCGGAUUGGGCCAAUACUGACGCUCAGGCACGAAAGCAUGGGGAUCAAACAGG